CAGUCGCCGCGGGAAUACGUAGGCGGCAAGCGUUGUCCAGAAUUAUUGGGCGUAAAGGGAGCGCAGGUGGGACGGUAAGUCCGUCUUAAAAGGCAGGGGCUCAGCCCCUGUAAGGGAUGGAAACUAUCGAUCUUGAGUGCCGGAGAGGAAAGCGGAAUUCCCAGUGUAGCGGUGAAAUGCGUAGAUAUUGGGAAGAACACCAGUGGCGAAGGCGGCCUUCUGGACGGCAACUGGCACUGAGGCUCGAAGGCCAGGGGAGCGAACGGGAUUAGAUACCCCUGUAGUCCCUGUCUCUUAUACA
rnacentral:rRNA from 1 species